GGCCCGCGCGGGGGGUGUCGGGAGAGAGCGGUUUGAAGGCCCUAGGCUGGGCUGCGGCACUCCUGCGAAAAGGCAGCUCCGGCGACUGCGAGAGCAGAACACAGUACGCAUCAAGAGAAGAAACUCACCAGGGCAUGUUAUAGCUCUGAAUUCAUGGGCUAACUUCAAACCUUAUAAGUACACCACAGAGGUGAAGCAGAUUCACAAAGUGCUGCAUUGCUGGAGAGCAGCAAGCAGAAUGAAUUACUGAACUCAAAAGAGACGCACGUCUUUUGGAAGAGACAGGUGAUUUGCUGUAUGGGGAUGAAGAACGAGAUGAAGAGGACCUCGGGGACCUGGAAGAUCUGUAAGAUCGACGAGAUCUGCUCCGGGACCUCUGGGAAGACACAGACCUUCGUUUUGGACUUCUGGAACGUGAACGGCCACGUCUAGGGCUUCUGGAGUGUCUUCGGUUCCAGACAGGCCUAUAACCUCCACGAUGGUAUCUACCACCUCCUCCUUGAUAAUACCCUCUACCUCUUCCUCUGUAACCAUAGGGACGUCUCAUUCCUCUAUUAUUUCUGUAAUCUCUGCGAUAAUCUCUAGAAUAAACACGAUCCCUGCUGCGAGAUCGUGAAUACGUCCUUGACCGAGACCUAGAACUAAAAUUAAAAAGCAAACAUUAAAAUCUGACAAUUGGAAAACCAAAAAGAAGUGCCUUGACACUAAAUGCUAGAUUCCUCGAAUGCAGUCAGAAUGCUAAAGGAUGCGGACUAACGGUCUUACAGUAACUUCUACAAUCUCUAUUUAUUAUUUCCAUAAUAUAUUUAUUGUAAUAAGCAUGUUUAUACUUCUAAGGACUGUGAAACUCUGCAUCACAUGAUUAAGACGUUACCAGCCCCAGUGGCCUGCCCUGCCAUUUUAUUAGAUUAUCACCACUCUGGAACAUGGCAUUCAGUCUCUCAGCCACCUUGGUUCACAGCCUGGAACAUGAAGUUACAUGACCCCCAAUUUCAUAUGCCAGCCUGUGGAUAGCAGCUGAUGAGGCAGUAAACAUUCAACUGACCCACUUCUUUUACGGGAGAUGGUAAAGUCCACUAGUAAGAAAGAUGAGCAAAAGGCUGGAGGCAACUGAGAAGACAAGGUACAGCAAAGUUUAUCUACUGAAGCCAUAAGUUACUUCAGAUAUGAAAAGUGGAAUGAGAAAUACAGAACAAAUUACAGAGGAAGAGACUGGACAAAGAAAAGAUCUUAUGAAGGGGAACGGAAGAAUCAAAAGUGCCACAAAUCACAAAGAACCAUUCGCAUUCUGAAAUUAUCUUGAGAUACAUGAAAAU